rnacentral:misc_RNA from 1 species
UCCGGUUUGUCACCGGCAGUCACUCUAGAGUGCCCAGCACUACCUGCUGGCAACUAAAGUCAAGGGUUGCGCUCGUUGCGGGACUUAACCCAACAUCUCACGACACGAGCUGACGACAACCAUGCACCACCUGUCUUGGGUGCUCCGAAGAGGGACACUAUCUCUAAUGUUUUCACCCAGAUGUCAAGACCUGGUAAGGUUCUUCGCGUUGCUUCGAAUUAAACCACAUACUCCACUGCUUGUGCGGGUCCCCGUCAAUUCCUUUGAGUUUCAGUCUUGCGACCGUACUCCCCAGGCGGAGUGCUUACUGUGUUAACUUCGGCACCAAGGGUAUCGAAACCCCUAACACCUAGCACUCAUCGUUUACGGCGUGGACUAC